CCGUGGUGUUAGUAAAAUACCACGUGUAUUUACCCAAAAAUCUGAUCCGAUGUCUCCGCCCCCUACUUCUAGUAUCCUCAGUUUUUCCUCCGAUUCAAUUCUUCUCCCUCAAAUCCAUCUCCCAAAUCGGAGAGGGUUAGAAAGGGUUUUCGAGCCAAUCAUAUUUGAUUUCUCCACCGCUAUUCUCCUCCAGUCGGCUGUCUCUAUCUGCUACGCUUCACGUUUCUUCAGCAAAAUUAGGAUUGGGGUUUGUUGAUAUCUGUCGAUUCUUAUCAUCACCGGGUUUGAAGGAGAAGUGAUUAGGGAUGUCUGCUGCGAAGGGGAUGAAUGUCGUCAUCGUUCUCGCACCACACAUCGUUCUCACACCCCCACUGCAACCGUUACUCCCUCUGUAGCAGAAGCACUAUUUCGAUCCUUGCUAGCGUUGCUACCUUUCGAUCAAGCACUUCAGAUGAAUUCUGCAGCGUCGGUCGGUGAUUGCUGCUGCUUUCGUUAAUCUUACUCUUGUUGUUCAGCCUUACGAUAAUUUCUCUCCUCUUCUGUAUCGCAUCCAAUUCUUUGAAAAACUCGAAAUUAAUAAGGUUCUAUUAUAAUUUCUUGUGGGAACGUGCUUCUUUAUGUGUGACAGAAAAAAAUGAUGCUUUCAAGGUUCAGUAAUAGCCCUAAUUUCUAGGUUGCAUCUGUCAAUGCAGCAGUCUUCGCAUCCUUUCUUUUGAUCUUAUAUUCAUCUGUGAUGGACAUGGAGAAUAAGCUUCAACCCUUGAGGCUACAAGAGAAGUCUGCAUUCUUAGUAAACCUUCAACAAGAGGAGAUUAAUGUCCAAAAUACCCCUUAAGAAUCUACUAACCUAAAUCUCUGAACUGCCCUUGAUAUUUAUGUUUAACUUAAUUUUUAUUGGUAAAAAUAAUUUGGGCAAGCUCAUAUCUUUUGUUAUUUAUCCCUAAAAAGGUUAAAUAUGGGCUUUUAUUCAAGGACUGGUAAAUCAAAUGAGGGUUUGGACCCACAAAACCAUACUAAAUACAAACUUGAUGGUGUGGAAGUUCUUGAUUCAAACUAAUUUCUGACAUUAAACCAUCUUUAUCCAUGAUUGCUCUUGAAUUAAAUAUGUAAUGAAGGUGAACCAAACUAAUUUCAGUCAACCAUUUUGUCACAUGAAAGAAUCAAUCUUGAGGUUUUAAUUGUGCUUUUAGAAAGUCGUCUGGGACAAGAUAGUCUUUACAUUGGAUGCAUGAAAUCUUCUUUACAUUGGAUGCAUGAAAUCUGGUGAAGUACUUACCGAAGAGUAAGUACCCUUUGUUGUAAACUUUAAUGUAACUAACUUCAAUUUUAAAAAAUAAAAAAAAUAAAUCUUUUUAGUUUGUCAAUUUAGGGGAAUACAAUGGCAUGAAUUAUAUCGGGAGAUGCUACAAAUAACCACAUUUUAUUACACUUUUCCAUGCUACAUAUCAUCGAAGAUUACCGACAUCAUUAAUGUCUAUUUUUGAAUGCUAUUCAUGUCAUCAUAUAAUCGCACUUCAUUUAAAACCGCGGCAUAGCGCGUUCUUUUAUUAGUUUUGUUUAUGAUCCAAGGUUCUUAGCAAUAAAAAUAAGACAUAAAAAUAUUGUUACAGUGAUUAAAGUGGUGGGAGAAGACAACAACAAUGGCAUUUGUAUUGUUAUUGAUGAAUACACUUUUUAAAGAGGUUAUAUUUGUGUAUUAAUUAUUUACGAAUAUAUUGUAUAACCAUUAUGAUAUGUUAUUCUAGAAAUGAAUUUUGUGUUUA